rnacentral:lncRNA from 1 species
CAAUUCUAAUUCUAAAACUUUGUUAAUAAAAAUCCAUGGUUAGGGUUUUGAAAUCAAUCCUAACUAAUAAAAAGGCUACUCAAACAUAUCUGAGUUAUUCAAUAUCAAUUCCAUUAAGGAUAAUUAAACAAAAAAGAAAGACUUAUUCAUUGAAUUCUGCAACGGAGUCUUCUCUCCAAUUUGCCCACUCCUCUUUUUCUUGUCUUCUUCUCUUCUUUGGAAUUGAUUCUUUAUAUUUUUU